rnacentral:lncRNA from 1 species
UUACUUUUACAUAGGGCUAAACUACCUCCGGCAUGCCGGUGCUCUGCACUUAGCUUAACUAAGGAAAACAAGGUAAAAUCUACGGCUUGUACCAAUGUGCUAGGCCAUCGGCCUCCGCAAGGCGGAAGCAUGUUAUGGUGCUUGCACCUACUUAUGCCAACCACUAAGCAAUCACAACGAGGGUCUAGUGCUAUGUUCGUUUUAUGGUGUUUACCUACAUUAAAUAACAUUUUCCAAGUUGUAAUCAACGACUUACCCACAACUAUUAUCCGGGCCUAGGCCCCGGAUCUUGUUGUGGAACGUACUCGUUUAGAGCGCAAGUGUCUAUUACUCAAGAGCUACUUGUUUUGGCCGGAGGCUUUUUGAGAAGUAGAGCUAACCCGUGCCGAAGGCCCUAGUUAAGUGAUAACUUUGUUGUGCCCUUUAAAAGGGCCCUUGGCCUAAACCAACUGUGAAAAAAUAAAGGACCACGAGUACUACGUAACCUUCGGCCUGUUGUUUACGUUCGUUUGUGACUGAUUCAGCCUCCGGGCUUUCGUUGGUUUGCGGCUAGGGGCUCUUACAACAUAGUAUGUUCGAUGUUUAACAUUUUUAUUUUAUUUUUAAUACAAAUUAGCUCAGUGUUAUAAAAUUUGUAUGUAUAUUAAGGGGGGGGUAGUUAACGACGUUAAGCUACUUUAUUAUUUCAGCAUGGCUGGNGGCACUACCAGGGCGACGCACAGCCGAAAGCCUACGCGCGUCACCUUAGGUGUGAGCUUUAUUCUAUUAAGUUUAAGUUGCUGCCUACAAUUUAAUGAUUUACUNNN